CCUACGGGGGGCAGCAGUGAGGAAUAUUGGUCAAUGGACGAGAGUCUGAACCAGCCAAGUCGCGUGAAGGAUGACUGCCCUAUGGGUUGUAAACUUCUUUUAUAUGGGAAUAAAACGUUCCACGUGUGGGCUUUUGUAUGUACCUUAUGAAUAAGGAUCGGCUAACUCCGUGCCAGCAGCCGCGGUAAUACGGAGGAUCCGAGCGUUAUCCGGAUUUAUUGGGUUUAAAGGGAGCGUAGGGGGAUUGUUAAGUCAGUUGUGAAAGUUUGCGGCUCAACCGUAAAAUUGCAGUUGAAACUGGCAGUCUUGAGUACAGUAGAGGUGGGCGGAAUUCGUGGUGUAGCGGUGAAAUGCUUAGAUAUCACGAAGAACUCCGAUUGCGAAGGCAGCUCACUGGACUGAAACUGACACUGAGGCUCGAAAGUGUGGGUAUCAAACAGGAUUAGAUACCCCUGUAGUC
rnacentral:rRNA from 1 species